UCUCCAACUUGGAAUUUCGUAAAAUGUACACCAAUCUAACUACAAAUAAUCAAACAAGAAAAUAUAAUUUUUUCAUACAAAAUUUAAAUAACAACCCAUUAAAUACUUUUCUUUAUCAAAUUCUAAAUCUUCAUUUCUUUUUCUGAAGAGGGAAAUAAUUUUACAUCUCUGAUAAGAACUAAUGACAAAUGUGGUCGACUUGAAUAAGAUCAAGAGAAUUAAAAUUUCAGUGUCCCCCCCCCCCCCCCCCCCCUUCAACAUCGUCAAGUCUUAUCUUAUUCAGCUUACCAAAUAAGCCAGAAGUCUAAAGGAAUUUGAAAAGGGCUUUGCAAAUAUUAAUUAAUUUCAUUUCUGGGUUAUGUUUCAAGAAAUCCAGUCAUUUUGAGAAUUGAAUUCCUGACUUCACUCAAAUUUCUGCCCUUAAGAGUCCUUCCAUUUCCGGUGCAGACGGAGAACGCCAUCAUUUUCUCGGCGACCCGCUGGCUAACGAUAACGUGGGGUGGUACCAUUUCUCCACCGUCGUUUUCGUCAUCGAAAAUUUCCGAAUCUACAUACUGAACCGUCCAUAAACUUCCAGUUAUGUUUGCUGGGAUAUUUACCGGAACUGAAUUCUUCUUGGUCUUGAAUUUCUUCCUCUUGGUUUUGAUAUUUCUUCACGGAAAAUUGUACUCCUCGUUGCCAUCUUCAUCUCCGGCAUAGUCUUGAAAAAUAACUUCAGAUUCUUGAAAUACUUCUGCCAUGGAAAAUGAGAGAAAAGUACGAAUUAAAAUGGUAUUUAGGAAUUGGUAAAGGGUGGGAAAUGCAAGGAAAUUUAUAGAGGGCGAAAAUGAUUGAUUAGAGGAAGAGAGUUUGAUUGGGGGUGGUGAAGUGGCGUCAUUGUAAAGGGCGUUGAGUGCGG
rnacentral:lncRNA from 1 species